rnacentral:rRNA from 1 species
GAUGAACGCUGGCGGCGUGCCUAAUACAUGCAAGUCGAGCGAACGGACGAGAAGCUUGCUUCUCUGAUGUUAGCGGCGGACGGGUGAGUAAUACGUGGAUAACCUACCUAUAAGACUGGGAUAACUUCGGGAAACCGGAGCUAAUACCGGAUAAUAUUUUGAACCGCAUGGUUCAAAAGUGAAAGACGGUCUUGCUGUCACUUAUAGAUGGAUCCGCGCUGCAUUAGCUAGUUGGUAAGGUAACGGCUUACCAAGGCAACGAUGCAUAGCCGACCUGAGAGGGUGAUCGGCCACACUGGAACUGAGACACGGUCCAGACUCCUACGGGAGGCAGCAGCAGGGAAUCUUCCGCAAUGGGCGAAAGCCUGACGGAGCAACGCCGCGUGAGUGAUGAAGGUCUUCGGAUCGUAAAACUCUGUUAUUAGGGAAGAACAUAUGUGUAAGUAACUGUGCACAUCUUGACGGUACCUAAUCAGAAAGCCACGGCUAACUACGUG